UACGGAGGGUGCAAGCGUUAAUCGGAAUUACUGGGCGUAAAGCGCACGCAGGCGGUCUGUCAAGUCGGAUGUGAAAUCCCCGGGCUCAACCUGGGAACUGCAUUCGAAACUGGCAGGCUAGAGUCUUGUAGAGGGGGGUAGAAUUCCAGGUGUAGCGGUGAAAUGCGUAGAGAUCUGGAGGAAUACCGGUGGCGAAGGCGGCCCCCUGGACAGUAACUGACACUGAGGCGCGACAGCGUGGGGAGCAAACAGG
rnacentral:rRNA from 1 species